GUGUCAGCAGCCGCGGUAAUACGGAGGGUGCGAGCGUUAAUCGGAAUUACUGGGCGUAAAGCGCGCGUAGGCGGUUCGUUCAGUCCUUUGUGAAAGCCCUGGGCUUAACCUGGGAAUGGCAGGGGAUACUGGCGGGCUAGAGUGUGGUAGAGGGUAGCGGAAUUUCCGGUGUAGCAGUGAAAUGCGUAGAGAUCGGAAGGAACACCAGUGGCGAAGGCGGCUAUCUGGACCAACACUGACGCUGAGGUGCGAAAGCGUGGGGAGCAAACAGGAUUAGAUACCCGUGUAGUCC
rnacentral:rRNA from 1 species